rnacentral:rRNA from 1 species
UACGAAGGGGGCUAGCGUUGUUCGGAUUUACUGGGCGUAAAGCGCACGUAGGCGGAUCGUUAAGUCGGGGGUGAAAUCCUGGAGCUCAACUCCAGAACUGCCUUCGAUACUGGCGAUCUUGAGUCCGGAAGAGGUGAGUGGAACUCCUAGUGUAGAGGUGGAAUUCGUAGAUAUUAGGAAGAACACCAGUGGCGAAGGCGGCUCACUGGUCCGGUAUUGACGCUGAGGUGCGAAAGCCAGGGGAGCAAACGGG